UACGUAGGGGGCAAGCGUUGUCCGGAAUUACUGGGCGUAAAGCGCGUGUAGGCGGGACGGUUAGUCGGACGUGAAAGGCUCGGGCUCAACCCGAGAUGGCCGUUCGAAACUGCCGUUCUUGAGGGUCGAAGAGGAGAGUGGAAUUCCGGGUGUAGUGGUGAAAUGCGUAGAGAUCCGGAGGAACACCAGUGGCGAAGGCGACACGCUGGGCCGUACCUGACACUGAGGCGCGAUAGCAUGGGGAGCAAACAGG
rnacentral:rRNA from 1 species